AUUGAACGCUGGCGGCAGGCCUAACACAUGCAAGUCGAACGAGUGGCGGACGGGUGAGUAAUGUCUGGGAAACUGCCCGAUGGAGGGGGAUAACUACUGGAAACGGUAGCUAAUACCGCAUACCAUCGGAUGUGCCCAGAUGGGAUUAGCUAGUGGGUGGGGUAACGGCUCACCUAGGCGACGAUCCCUAGCUGGUCUGAGAGGAGGACCAGCACACAUGGAACUGAGACACGGCCAAGACUCCUACGGGAGGCAGCAGUGGGGAAUAUUGGCAAAUGGGCGCAAGCCUGAUACAGCCAGGCCGCGUGGAUGAAGAAGGCCUUCGGGUUGUAAAGUACUUUCAGCGAGGAGGCGUUACUCGCAGAAGAAGCACCGGCUAACUCCGUGCCAGCAGCCGCGGUAAUUC
rnacentral:rRNA from 1 species